GCCCGGUUAGCUCAGUCGGUAGAGCAUUCGGCUUUUACACGCUACAUGUGAUGUGACACCGAAAUGUCGGGGGUUCGAGCCCCCCAUUGGGCG
rnacentral:tRNA from 1 species